GGCUGGUCUCGAACUCCCGACCUCAGGCGAUCCACCCGCCUCAGCCUCCCAAAGUGCUGGGAUUACAGGCGUGAGCCACUGUGCCCGGCCACUUUAUUUUUUUUAACCUUUGCACUGAACUUUGCAUUUGACCCAUUUAAACUGCAUCUUAGCUAGGUGCAGUGGGGUAUGCCUAUAGUCCCAGCUACUUCAGAGGCUAACGUUAGAGGAUCAUCUGAGGCCAGGAGUUUUAAGGCUGUAGUGUGCUAUGAAUGCACCUGUGAAUAGCAGCUGUGCUCCAGCAUAUAGAGACCCUGUCUCUAAAAAAUGAAAAAACAAAACAAAACAAAAAAAACCCCACCUCGUUAGAUUUGGUCCUGCCUGCCAAGAUCUCUUUAUAUUCUGAUUCUGCUAUCCAGCAUAUUAUCUCUACUAGAUUAUUGAUGUCUACAAAUGUGAUAAUCUGUCAUCAACGUUCUUAACUAAACCAUUUGUACAAACAUUGAAUAGGACAGCACUCAGAACAGUAUGCACUAGACACUUCUAAUUUGGUGUUAAUCCAUUGUUAGUUAAUAGGAUUCUGAGUAUUGUUUGCAUUGUCUGCUCAGCCAAUAGCAACUGGGAGCCUAGUUCAACUGGAAUGUGCAGCUACAGGCCCCAUUGUAGACUUCACAGAAGAGAGGUGUGAGUUCUGUGUCUCAAGCCAAAAGGAGAAAAAAAAUUUUUUUUCUUUGAAACAGCGUUUUGCUCUUGUUGCCCAGGCUGGAGUGCAAUGGUACAAUCCCGGCUCACCACAACCUCUGCCUCCCAGGUUCAAGCAAUUCCCCUGACUCAGCCUCCCUAGUAGCUGAGAUUACAGGCAUGCACCACCACGCCCAGCUAAUUUUGUAUUUUUAGUAGAGAUGGGGUUUCUCCAUGUUGGUCAGGCUGGUCUUGAACUCCCGACCUCAGGUGAUCCGCCCAUCUCGGCCUCCCAAAGGGCUGGGAUUGCAGGUGUGAGCCACCGCGCCCAGCCCAAAAGGAGAAAAAUUUAAAUUUAAUAGUAAACAAGUUUUCUACCCAUUUCUUAGGCUUAAGUCAUCUGGGUCACUGGGUCAUUUCCUCUAAAGAUCUGCUUCUUUCAUUUCAGAACCCACAAAUUUUCUAAACACCUAUAAAUUGUCAUUCAUUCUUCAAUUUUGUAUCACCUAGUUUGGGUCAACUACAGUUCCAAUCUACCAUAUCCUUUCUGGCUUCACUUCUUUCCUUAUCCACCUUGGACUUCAUGGACAAUGAUCUCAAGACACUUUUACCACACCCUCAGUUACCUUUGUCUUUUGUUCUUUGGUCCCAACCACCUCACCCCUCCCCAGUUCUAGAUCAAUGUAAACUUUAUGUUUAUUUGCUCAUUCAAGAAAUAUUUAUUGAGGGCCUGUUGAUAUGCCAACAGUUGUUCUAGGUAUUGAGGACACAGAUGUGUUUUCUCUCCUUCUGAGUGUUGGCAUCUGUUUUAUAGGAGAGCAUUAGUUAAUCAUGAGUCGGAACUGGUACCAGUAUGUGGUUUCCAGCCUUAACUUGGCAGUCCUCAUGGGGAGCCAAAUGCCUUGUCAAUUUCUCACAGCUGCUCUCCUUAAGCACCUCUUUCUAGUCCCAGCCUUUGCCUUUUGUAGACCACCUUACAGUCGGCCUCAAAAGGAUAAUAAACCAGUGCCACAUUCUCCAGCGUUCUUCCCUUUCCUUUUCCUUUUCCCCCUCGCCUCCCCUCCCCCAGGCUGGAGUAGUAGAGCGGCAGGAUCUCAGCUUCCUGCAACCUCUGCCUCCGAGGUUCAAGCAAUUAACCUGCCUCAGCCUCCCUGGUAGCUGAGAUUACAGGCACCCGCCACCACAACUGGCUAAUUAUUUUUGUAUUUUAGUAGAGACAGGGUUUCAAAUGAUCCACCUGCCUUGGCCUCCCAAAGCACUGGGAUUACAGGCAUGAGCCAGCACACCUGGCCUCUUCCCCCUCUCCCCUCCCCCUCCCUCCCCUCCCCCUCCCCCUCCCCUCCCCCUCCCCCUCCCCCUCCCCUCCCUUCUCUUCUCUUCCUUUUUUUCCUCGCUCCGUCACCCAGGCCACCAUAAAUGAGAAUGAGCAGAAAUCAUAAAUAGCAGAAUUAUGCCCACAGAGACUUUGGAUAUUAGAAUUAUAUUGCUGCAUAUAAAGAAGUAUGUUUGCCAGGAGCGGUGGCUCACACCUGUAAUCCCAGCACUGUGGGAGACCGGAGGUGCGUGGAUCACCUGAGGUCAGGAGUUGGAGACCAGCCUGGCCAAUAUGGUGAAACCCCGUGUCCACCAAAAAUACAAAAAUUAGCCGGGCGUGGUAGCACGUGCCUGUAGUCCUGGCUACCUGGGAGGCUGAGGCAGGAGAAUCACUUGAACCCGGGAGGCGGAGGUUGCACUGAACCAAGAUCAUACCACUGCACUCCAGUCUGGGUGACAGAGCAAGACUCCAUCUCAAAACAAAACAAAAAAGAAGUAUGUUUAAUAUAUAUAAAAGCCUGAUUCAAGCACCGGACAGAAAAAAUAAUGUAUCACUAGGGAAUAAAUCACUAAAAAUGACAAGACUUCCAUAACCAUUGCUUGGUUUAAAAAAAAAAAAAAAAAAAAAAAAACAGGCCAGGUGCGGUGGCUCACACCUGUAAUCCCGGCACUUUGGGAGGGCAAGGCAGGCAGAUCAGGAGGUCAGGAGUUCGAGAGUAGCCUGGCCAACAUGGUGAAACCCCGUCUCUACUAAAAAUACAAAAAUCAGCUGGGCGUGAUGGCACAUGCCUGUAAUCCCAGCUACUCGGGAGGCUGAGGCAGGAGAGCUGCUUGAACUCGGGAAGCAGAGGUUGCAGUGAGCCGAGAUCACGCCAUUACAUUACAGCCUGGGUGACAGAGCAAGAAUCUGACAAAAAAAAAAAAAGAUUUUUAAAGGAACAAUUUCUAGAAAUGUAGAUACAGUAAUUCAACAAAUAACUAAAGAAAUAACUACAUAUAUACUAUGUCUAUGUGUGUAUGUGUAUGUAUAUAUAAUAUAUACUGUGAAGGAAAAUAAAGGGUGCCAUGAAAACAUAUCACAGAGUGUUAGGGACUGAAUUUUGCCUCCCUUCUCGCUACCCAAAAUUCCUGUGUUGAAGUCCUAACCCCCAGUACCUCAGCCUGGGAUUGCAUUUGGAGAAAGGGUCUUUAAAGAAGUAACUAAGGUUGGCCGGGCACGGUGGCUCACGCCUGUAAUCCCAGCACUUUGGGAGGCUGAGACUGGUGGAUCACCUGAGGUCAGGAGUUUGAGACCAGCCUGGCCAACAUGGUGAAAACCUGUAUCUACUAAAAAUACAAAAAUUAGCCAGGCAUGGGGGCAUGUGCCUGUAAUCCCAGGUACUUGGGAGGCUGAG
rnacentral:lncRNA from 1 species